rnacentral:rRNA from 1 species
GUGGGGAAUCUUCCGCAAUGGACGAAAGUCUGACGGAGCAACGCCGCGUGAGUGAUGAAGGUCUUCGGAUUGUAAAGCUCUGUUAAUCGGGACGAAAGAGCCUAGUGUGAAUAAUGCUAGGAAGUGACGGUACCGGAAUAGAAAGCCACGGCUAACUACGUGCCAGCAGCCGCGGUAAUACGUAGGUGGCAAGCGUUGUCCGGAAUUAUUUGGCGUAAAGCGCGCGCAGGCGGAUCUGCCAGUCUGUCUUAAAAGUUCGGGGCGUAACCCCGUGAUGGGAUGGAAACUACAGAUCUAGAGUAUCGGAGAGGAAAGUGGAAUUCCUAGUGUAGCGGUGAAAUGCGUAGAUAUUAGGAAGAACACCAGUGGCGAAGGCGACUUUCUGGACGAAAACUGACGCUGAGGCGCGAAAGCCAGGGGAGCGAACGGGAUUAGAAACCCGAGUAGUCC